ensembl:lncRNA
AGCACUACUACCAUCAGUUAUUCUGCUUAAGAUGUAGACAUGCUUGUUGCUUGUUGUAAACCUGUUGUGCAAUUGCUAAACUAAAAUAUCUCAUAUGUCAUGAAAUAGCAAAGCAUAAGGAGAAGAAUUUGAGCCUUAAACAAUAACCACAUGCAAGUUCAAUUUGAUGCUGGAAAAGUGGUUCCCAGACCUGAAGAUAAAAUUAAGGGUGGUUUUUCUGAGGUUUUUUUUUUUCUGUAAACAGACAGAAGUCACUGGCAAAUAUCAAGAUUUUUUCUGAAAGUAGACUUCACAAAUUUUAAGUGAUCAGCAUUCACAAAACAAAAUGUGCUAAAAGCUGCUUUGGAUUGGGAUCCACAACAGUACCGAUAAGGUUUGUCAUCGUGUCUGGAGCUCUGUGAAAGUGGAUGUCUGCACCCCCCCCCCUUUUUUCUCAGCCUCUUCAGCCAGCCAUCAACUCUUCGAUCUUUGCCCCCCCACGACCCCUGAAAGCAACCUGCCCUCUUUAUCUAAUGUUGUAGCACAACUGUGAAUGUGAACCCUAGAUACAGAAAAAGAGAAUUCCGUUUAUGUGUGUGUGGGUGUGUGUGUUAUUCAGUGUUAACAUUUACUUAAUAUACUACAGAAAAAUUAACAAAAAAAAUCAGUAAAUGUGUAUUUAGAUUCAUUCUGGAUUUUGGCGUAUCAGCUGACUUGGAAUGGUGGAUAUAUGUUGGUUUCUUUGCGCAUCUCCCAGACGAGGACUGUGUUGUUCAAUGUGGACUGUGUUCGGUGUAACUUCACUGGCCAACUCCCACUCCUCUAUCCCUGUUGUUCAGACUAAUACUGUUUAUUGUCAUUAAAGACUUGGUUGUACCCAUAUAUAUCUGAUGGCCAUCCAUCCUACCUGUCUACUUCAAGUUUUUUUGGACAAAAGCUCCUUAUCAAAAUGUACUUAAACACCACUUGCACUGCAAAUCUGGGCUUAUCACUAAAGACAUUAAACAGUGUUUCGUUUCAUUUUCACAUUAUCUUUUUUUAGGGAUUGUAUGAAACAUGCAAAAAUUGACAUAUGCAUUUUAGACUAUUUUAAAUGACAGAUUAUACAUAUUUUCUUUAUUUUAAGUGAAAAAGUGUAUCAUAUAUUUUUAGUUACAUUAAAUUAUAUGGUUGGAUAAAAAUGCAAGUAGACUAAAAAGUUUCCCACUUUGUACAUACCUCUGAAGCUGUAACAAAUAUUGAGUGGAAAUGUUGCUCAGAGUGUGUGCUGUGUCGCCCUUUGCUGGUGUGGAGUGGUACUGCAUCAUGACGUGAAACAGGUGAAUCUGGGAGGCACUCUGAAAGAGCUGCAUUCCUUGUUUUAUCUCUACAUACGAUGAGUCCAAGUUAAGGUGGAAACAAAGACACGAGGAAGUGUUUGUGAUUGGCCUCAGUUGUUUUUGGGUGAUUUGUGAUAGAGCAGCAGUUGGUACAUUUGUUCAUGUGCUGCUAACGGGCUCACUGUAAAGCACUCGAGUAUACGCUGGAUGUUCUGUGUAUUAUUUCAAAAAGUGACUGUAUCUUAAUCCAUUGUGGCAUUAACAAAGUGUUGAAGGAAAAAUAAAAAUGGCACCUAAAAACAAGAAGAAUGUGGAUGAAUAUCAAAAAUUAAGGAUUCCUUUCUUUUGUUUUUUGUUACAUGGAUGGCAUCACCCCCCCUCCCUCAACCCCACCUGCAUGUGACUCCAAAUGAGAUGCAAUAAAAGACACAUCUGUUGAUCUCAGUGACCUCAGUUCAU